GAUGAACGCUGGCGGCGUGCCUAAUACAUGCAAGUCGAGCGAACGGACGAGAAGCUUGCUUUUCUGAUGUUAGCGGCGGACGGGUGAGUAACACGUGGAUAACCUACCUAUAAGACUGGGAUAACUUCGGGAAACCGGAGCUAAUACCGGAUAAUAUUUUGAACCGCAUGGUUCAAAAGUGAAAGACGGUCUUGCUGUCACUUAUAGAUGGAUCCGCGCUGCAUUAGCUAGUUGGUAAGGUAACGGCUUACCAAGGCAACGAUGCAUAGCCGACCUGAGAGAGGGAUCGGCCACACUGGAGCGGAGACACGGUCAAGACGACUACGAGAGGCAGCAGUAGGGAAUCUGCCGCAGUAGGCGAAAGCCUGACGGAGCAAGGCCGCGUGAGUGAUGAAGGUCUUCGGAGCGUAAAACUCUGUUAUUAGGGAAGAACAUAUGUGUAAGGAACUGUGCACAUCGUGACGGUACCUAAUAAGAAAGCCACGGCUAACUACGUG
rnacentral:rRNA from 1 species